rnacentral:rRNA from 1 species
AGAGUUUGAUCCUGGCUCAGAGCGAACGCUGGCGGCAGGCCUAACACAUGCAAGUCGAACGAACUCUUCGGAGUUAGUGGCGGACGGGUGAGUAACACGUGGGAACGUGCCUUUAGGUUCGGAAUAACUCAGGGAAACUUGUGCUAAUACCGAAUGUGCCCUUCGGGGGAAAGAUUUAUCGCCUUUAGAGCGGCCCGCGUCUGAUUAGCUAGUUGGUGAGGUAAAGGCUCACCAAGGCGACGAUCAGUAGCUGGUCUGAGAGGAUGAUCAGCCACAUUGGGACUGAGACACGGCCCAAACUCCUACGGGAGGCAGCAGUGGGGAAUCUUGCGCAAUGGGCGAAAGCCUGACGCAGCCAUGCCGCGUGAAUGAUGAAGGUCUUAGGACUGUAAAAUUCUUUCAGUAGGGACGAUAAUGACGGUACCUACAGAAGAAGCCCCGGCUAACUUCGUGCCAGCAGCCGCGGUAAUACGAAGGGGGCUAGCGUUGCUCGGAAUUACUGGGCGUAAAGGGAGCGUAGGCGGACAUUUAAGUCAGGGGUGAAAUCCCGGGGCUCAACCUCGGAAUUGCCUUUGAUACUGGGUGUCUUGAGUGUGAGAGAGGUAUGUGGAACUCCGAGUGUAGAGGUGAAAUUCGUAGAUAUUCGGAAGAACACCAGUGGCGAAGGCGACAUACUGGCUCAUUACUGACGCUGAGGCUCGAAAGCGUGGGGAGCAAACAGGAUUAGAUACCCUGGUAGUC